rnacentral:ncRNA from 1 species
CCCUGCUCGACAAUGCACUGAGCAAAAAGCCGCAGGUAGUGCAGAUCGAACCGACCGACAAGGCAUUCAGGACAUCCGGCUGCCAGCCCUGGCAGAUCACCGGCGAGAGCAAUGCGCCAGCCGAAUUACCGGGCCCUGCCGCAGGCGCCCAACUGCAAACCGAUCUGGCGAUCCUCAACGGGCUGCUCGGCCCGACCGGCGAACGGGUG